GGAUGUGAGGACGAUCUGGCUGCGACAUCUGUCACCCCAUUGAUUGCCAGGGUUGAUUCGGCUGAUCUGGCUGGCUAGGCUGGUGUCCCCUUCCUCCCUCACCGUUCCAUGUGCGUCCCUCCCGAAGCUGCGCGUUUGGUUGAAGAGGAUGACCUUCCCCGCUAGAGGAGGACCGGUCUUCGGUCAAGGGUAUACGAGUAGCUGUGCUCCCCUGCUAGAACCUCCAAACAAGCUCUCAAAAGCUAGGCCUCUUGUGCCAGUCAGCUAAGUUGUGAAUGCAAAGGAAAGGUUCCUGAAGGAAAUUGAAAGUGCUACUCCAG
rnacentral:snRNA from 1 species